CGUGGCCUAGCGUGGCGGCUUUGGCUCGGUUUUGGGUACCGUAGGCCGGAGGUUCGAAUCCUCUCGCCCCGACCA
rnacentral:tRNA from 1 species